rnacentral:rRNA from 1 species
GACGAACGCUGGCGGCGUGCUUAACACAUGCAAGUCGAACGGAAAGGCCCUGCUUUUGUGGGGUGCUCGAGUGGCGAACGGGUGAGUAACACGUGAGUAACCUGCCCUUGACUUUGGGAUAACUUCAGGAAACUGGGGCUAAUACCGGAUAGGAGCUCCUGCUGCAUGGUGGGGGUUGGAAAGUUUCGGCGGUUGGGGAUGGACUCGCGGCUUAUCAGCUUGUUGGUGGGGUAGUGGCUUACCAAGGCUUUGACGGGUAGCCGGCCUGAGAGGGUUGACGGCCACAUUGGGACUGAGAUACGGACCAGAAUCCUACGGGAGGCAGCAGUGGGGAAUAUUGCACAAUGGGCGGAAGCCUGAUGCAGCAACGCCGCGUGCGGGAUGACGGCCUUCGGGUUGUAAACCGCUUUCGCAUGUGACGAAGCGUGAGUGACGGUAAUGGGUAAAGAAGCACCGGCUAACUACGUG